rnacentral:rRNA from 1 species
AUUGAACGCUGGCGGUAUGCUUAACACAUGCAAGUCGAACGGCAGCAUGGUCUAGCUUGCUAGACUGAUGGCGAGUGGCGGACGGGUGAGUAACGCGUAGGAAUAUGCCUUGAAGAGUGGGACAACUUGGGGAAACUCAAGCUAAUACCGCAUGUACUCGAGAGAGUAAAGCUGGGGACCUUUAGGCCUGGCGCUUUAAGAUUAGCCUGCGUCCGAUUAGCUAGUUGGUAGGGUAAAGGCCUACCAAGGCGACGAUCGGUAGCUGGUCUGAGAGGAUGAUCAGCCACACUGGAACUGAGAGACGGUCCAGACUCCUACGGGAGGCAGCAGUGGGGAAUAUUGGACAAUGGGGGGAACCCUGAUUCGGCAAUGCCGCGUGUGUGAAGAAGGCCUGAGGGUUGUAAAGCACUUUCAGUGGGGAGGAGGUUUGGAAGGUUAAGAGCUAUUCAAAUGGACGUUACCCACAGAAGAAGCACCGGCUAACUCCGUGCCAGCCGCCGCGGUAA